AUGAACGCUAGCUACAGGCUUAACACAUGCAAGUCGAGGGGCAGCAUGAACUUAGCUUGCUAAGUUUGAUGGCGACCGGCGCACGGGUGAGUAACACGUAUCCAACCUGCCGAUGACUCGGGGAUAGCCUUUCGAAAGAAAGAUUAAUACCCGAUGGCAUAGUUCUUCCGCAUGGUAGAACUAUUAAAGAAUUUCGGUCAUCGAUGGGGAUGCGUUCCAUUAGGUUGUUGGCGGGGUAACGGCCCACCAAGCCUUCGAUGGAUAGGGGUUCUGAGAGGAAGGUCCCCCACAUUGGAACUGAGACACGGUCCAAACUCCUACGGGAGGCAGCAGUGAGGAAUAUUGGUCAAUGGACGAGAGUCUGAACCAGCCAAGUAGCGUGAAGGAUGACUGCCCUAUGGGUUGUAAACUUCUUUUAUACGGGAAUAAAGUGAGGCACGUGUGCCUUUUUGUAUGUACCGUAUGAAUAAGGAUCGGCUAACUCCGUGCCAGCAGCCGCGGUAAUACGGAGGAUCCGAGCGUUAUCCGGAUUUAUUGGGUUUAAAGGGAGCGUAGGCGGACGCUUAAGUCAGUUGUGAAAGUUUGCGGCUCAACCGUAAAAUUGCAGUUGAUACUGGGUGUCUUGAGUACAGUAGAGGCAGGCGGAAUUCGUGGUGUAGCGGUGAAAUGCUUAGAUAUCACGAAGAACUCCGAUUGCGAAGGCAGCUUGCUGGACUGUAACUGACGCUGAUGCUCGAAAGUGUGGGUAUCAAACAGGAUUAGAUACCCUGGUAGUCCACACCGUAAACGAUGAUUACUAGGUGUUGGAGGAUUGACCCCUUCAGUGCCGCAGUUAACACAAUAAGUAAUCCACCUGGGGAGUACGACCGCAAGGUUGAAACUCAAAGGAAUUGACGGGGGCCCGCACAAGCGGAGGAACAUGUGGUUUAAUUCGAUGAUACGCGAGGAACCUUACCCGGGCUUGAAUUGCAACUGAAUGAUGUGGAGACAUGUCAGCCGCAAGGCAGUUGUGAAGGUGCUGCAUGGUUGUCGUCAGCUCGUGCCGUGAGGUGUCGGCUUAAGUGCCAUAACGAGCGCAACCCUUAUCGAUAGUUACCAUCAGGUUAUGCUGGGGACUCUGUCGAGACUGCCGUCGUAAGAUGUGAGGAAGGUGGGGAUGACGUCAAAUCAGCACGGCCCUUACGUCCGGGGCUACACACGUGUUACAAUGGGGGGUACAGAAGGCAGCUACACGGCGACGUGAUGCUAAUCCCUAAAGCCUCUCUCAGUUCGGAUUGGAGUCUGCAACCCGACUCCAUGAAGCUGGAUUCGCUAGUAAUCGCGCAUCAGCCACGGCGCGGUGAAUACGUUCCCGGGCCUUGUACACACCGCCCGUCAAGCCAUGAAAGCCGGGGGUACCUGAAGUGCGUAACCGCAAGGAGCGCCCUAGGGUAAAACUGGUGAUUGGGGCU
rnacentral:rRNA from 1 species